UAUUUUUAUCUUAACUCUAUGAGUUAAAUCCUCCAGUGUCUAAACCAAUCUGUAUCGGUUUAAAAAAUAUCUUCUCAAAAUAUCUUAUGAUAAUAUCUCCCAAAAUAUCUAAAUCAUCCAUCCUUAUCUCUCCCUCUCUCAUUCUGACAAUCCACUCUCCCUCACGUUCACUACUUCACUCUCUCACUCUUUUCUUCUUCCUUUUUUUGUUUCUCAACUUGCUGCAGCUCAUCUCACCAUUUCUUUUUCAUUCAUGUAUAUCCACCGCCCUUGUUUCUCACCACCGCCAACUUCUUCUUCUUUUCUCCUUCACUAUCUCGACCCUUUCUCUCAUUAACGUGACAUUACUUUAGCCAACCAAUUGCUAAUCUUCUAUAUAUCUAACACUUUCUCAACCUUUUACAUUCCUUUAAUACCCAUAAGAAUUAGGAAUCUAAACACUUUUCCAUGUUUUCUCUCCACAGCGUGAACAACAAAGCUUAAACAUGGAUUUUAUUUAAAUCCUCUUCUCCUUCCCUUAGGCUGUAAGCACCACUCAUUUCCCUCUCUUGCAGCAAACACACGCACACUUCUCCUCACCCACUCUUUCACAUUUUUCUUUGGCUGCAGCACCAUAACUUCUUCUUUCAUCGUUGGCCAGUCACCACCUUGUGCCUCUAUUCUUCACGCAGCACCCACACUCACCAUCACCAUCUCUAAGGUGCAUGUUUUUAUGGGUACGAAGGACGAAAGCUCCUCGCGGCGAAGCUAAAGAAUAGAAGGAAGCGAGCCGACGUGGAAAAUAAAGAUGUGAUUAGAUUGAAGUUGCAGUUUAGGAAACAAAUUGGCUAAGGCGAUGGAGAAUCUUCGAUGGAGCUUGACCUUCGUACGAGUCAGAGAGGAGAACUUGAAGAACUAUGGAAGACUUGAAGAAUAGAGUCGGGUGUAGGGUUAGAGCCUUGGGUUAGAGACCUAACCAUUAUUGGUUUAAGCCUGCAUAAUGAUUUUAGAAAUUUAUAUUUGGGGUUUCGGGUACUCGCCUUGUUCAAGGCGUGAUGUAGAUUCUAUUUACUGUUGGGAGUAGGCAUUACAUGUUUUGGAAAUACAUUUGAAAAGAAAAAAAUAUAUACUCGUGUUUAUACUUCCUUUUGGAAAACAUUGCAUAUUUACUUUAAUAGGUUACUAAAGUGACCCCUGAAAUUCGGGGCGUUACACAUCUCCUCUCACAAAUCCGACGCACAUCCACCACUCCUUCUCUACCUCUUUGCGAUCAUCGUGUUCCGCCACGCCACGCCGCACCACCACCUCCUUCUCUUCCUCUCUGAUCGUGUUCCACCCUGCCACACCACCACCUCCUUCUCCUUCUCUAACGUUGUGCGCCGUCACCACUACCCGUGGAGAUCCAGCGUCGCAACCCUUCCUUCUCUGAGGUCCAGCGCUGCCACCACAUGAAGAUGCGCCGCCGCAACCCGAGUCCGUCCCACCCUCGUGAUGUUGACACCAACAGCCGCCGCACCACCGCCUUAGGUUCCUCAUCAUGAAGAUGGAACCUUUCAGAUCUGGUCUUCCAUUUUUUUUUUUUAUAAUUUUCUUUUGUAAUGGGCUGACAGUGUAAUCAUUAAUCUUUAUUUUUUCUGAAAUUUGAAUGUUGAAUCUUGAUCUUGAUCUUCAUUUUAUUUUUCUGAAUGUUGAACCCGCUCAACCCACCCGUUGAAACCGCUAACCGCCGAACCUGAACCUGAACAGCCCGUGGCAACUGGACGGUCGGCGGCGGACCAGGUGGUUGGGUGAUUUUCACCCGACACAAACCGCGUUUUCGGCCCGGAUCCGACUGAACCCGUCCGGUGGACACCCCUAUCUAGUAGUGCUCCUAGCUCAUGCGAAGCGAACCCAAGAAGCCAGCUCAUGCGAAGCGAACCCAAGAAGCCAACGACCUUGCUCAUCUCA